AAAAAAACAGGGGGGGGGGGUUUAUUAGAGCCUUUUCACUGCAGUUCUUCUCUAUCCACUGCCGUCAUUGCCAUUCUCUCUCCUCCUCCUCACUCCUCUUCAUCAUCGCCGCUGCUGUCAUCGCCAUUCUCUUCAAUUCUUGUGAGGUCACCAGAAAAAAUCUGAUUGAGCGAGGCGAUUUGAGGGGACUCUCUGCUCUUUCUCAAAUUAAACCAGACAGCAGAGCUGCUUGUUGAUGCUUCUUAAUUAUCCGGACGACCAAUAUCUCCAACUCUCUUUGGAAUUUUCUUCGAGUGUAUUGAUUCUGGAUGUAUUCAAAUGUUUUUCGCAGCAGGAGAUUAACCAUGCUAGCGCUGGUGGGUUGUGGGCUGAGCUUGUAAGCAACAUAGGUACUUCAAAACUCCAGAUAAUACAAAGUGAAAAAGAAUGUUUAUUUUACUUGUAACUAAACCUCUUUUUUAUUUUUAUUUUUAUUGUUAUUUUUAAGAUAGAAUCAAAUAAGUACAGGAGGAGGAUGGAGCAAGGGAUCUAUAUACUCGUGAAAUUGUUAAGGGACACUUCCUAUAAAGCCCUUCCUAUCAAUUGUAGAGCUAUGUUUUUAUUUCUUUUUUUUGUUAAUUUCAGUUGUAAUUGGUUAAUAUUCAUGAUACUUUUACAUAGUGGUGAGCUGCAAUGUAAGAGAGCUAAGGGCAAUUGUCCGCCCUCUUCAUCUUGAAUCCACCCUUGGAUGUAUAUGAGAUUAUAAUAAUAGAUAGCGAUUCUCACCAGUAGUAAUCAGGUCUAUGGCCAUAAUUAGAUUUAAUUUCAUGGCUAUCAUGGCUCUAUUAGGGACUGACUGCAGUGGGUAUUGGCUUUAGCCACAACUAAAUUGUCCCAUCUGUCCGACGUUGGAUACCUUCAAAUUGAAAGAUCUUUCUAUCGCAUUCUGGAUAAGUAGAUCAUUAUGUGUACUUUGGCACAUUACAUACAAAAGAGUGGGAUCGCAUGUGGACCUACUCCUUACAUGCUCAUUGAAUAUUGUUAAACUUAGGAGUUUGGGUUUUACCAUCAAAUAACUGUUCCGUAUCAACUUAGAGAUGACUGUGCUUCAAUUAGGUAUGGAAGCUGCAACUUUAAUGGUUGUGCUUUUGUGCGAGUAUGUGUGCGUUCAUAGCUAUUUGAGUAUCUUUCUACUGUCUCAGUACAUUUUCCGAGUUUGGAUCUGGUAUGUGUGUGUUCAUAGCUAUUUGAGUAUCUUUCUCUUCUAUCAUAUUCCUAUUUUGUUGUUCACACACCCCUUGAAUGUUUUCUCAGUUAGAUCCUUUUUUGUUCUUUCUUUCUUUCUUUCUAUAAUGCUACUUCUUUCUUAGUCCAAUAUAUGUUCACACACCUCAUAAUUUCUUAACACUUUAGAUUUAUUAUUUGUUACUUAAUUAAAUCUCAACAUUGUUGCUAGGAUAUUCAAGGACAAUAGGUUUGUGUGGCAGAGCUGGUUUGAAAUUGUUUUCUCAACACAAGUGAGUUGAUCCCGAGUACAAGAAAGGAGCAUGGAAUUUUGUGAAAACAGUAGUGUGAACUCCAAAUCAAAGAAAGGGUGCAAGUUGUUAGAUGUUAGUGGAUCGGGACAAAUAGUUGCUGAAGGACGUUGGUCCUCAAGUGAUCCAAAUAUGCUUGUUCAUUUUGUUCCCUUGGGUCCUAAUGCUAUGAGAGUUUGGGUAGAUACACUGAAAGUCCCAAUUGCAUCCCUUUGGAGGCCAUCAUCUGAGCUGGAAAUUAUUGAAGAUGUUAUUAGUACCACAGAAGCAUGGCCAGCAGACAAAGUGGUUAUGUUUUAGAGCUCCGUUCAAAGAUGCUAAGAGAGCUAUAUAUAUGAAGGUUAGAAGCUAGUAAUGGACUGAUGUGGUCAUGAAUGCUAGGAGCUGCGCACAAGUACUUUUUGGUUGAGACAUUGUAGUACCUGUUUAUCUUUUCCUUAGAUUAGUUAUGCAAACUGAUCAACUGCUAGUUUUGGAGACAAUUUUAUUGAAUUGUAUUUGAAAUUCAUAUAUGAAGUUUGAGUAUUAAUGAGA